AGUGAACGCUGGCGGUAGGCCUAACACAUGCAAGUCGAACGGCAGCACAGUAAGAGCUUGCUCUUACGGGUGGCGAGUGGCGGACGGGUGAGGAAUACAUCGGAAUCUACUUUUUCGUGGGGGAUAACGUAGGGAAACUUACGCUAAUACCGCAUACGACCUACGGGUGAAAGCAGGGGAUCUUCGGACCUUGCGCGAUUGAAUGAGCCGAUGUCGGAUUAGCUAGUUGGCGGGGUAAAGGCCCACCAAGGCGACGAUCCGUAGCUGGUCUGAGAGGAUGAUCAGCCACACUGGAACUGAGACACGGUCCAGACUCCCACGGGAGGCAGCAGUGGGGAAUAUUGGACAAUGGGCGUAAGCCUGAUCCAGCCAUACCGCGUGGGUGAAGAAGGCCUUCGGGUUGUAAAGCCCUUUUGUUGGGAAAGAAAAGCAGCAGGUUAAUACCCCGCUGUUCUGACGGUACCCAAAGAAUAAGCACCGGCUAACUUCGUG
rnacentral:rRNA from 1 species